AUGAACGCUAGCGACAGGCUUAACACAUGCAAGUCGAGGGGCAGCGGGGGCGUAGCAAUAUGCCUGCCGGCGACCGGCGCACGGGUGAGUAACACGUAUGUAACCUGCCCUAUGCAGGGGGAUAACCCGGAGAAAUCCGGCCUAAUACCGCGUAACACCUUUGGGGAGCAUUCCCUUGGGGUUAAAGGAGAGAUCCGGCAUAGGAUGGACAUGCGUCGCAUUAGGUAGACGGCGGGGUAACGGCCCACCGUGCCGACGAUGCGUAGGGGUUCUGAGAGGAAGGCCCCCCACACUGGUACUGAGACACGGACCAGACUCCUACGGGAGGCAGCAGUGAGGAAUAUUGGUCAAUGGCCGAGAGGCUGAACCAGCCAAGUCGCGUGAGGGAAGAAUGUCCUAAGGAUUGUAAACCUCUUUUGUCGGGGAGCAAAAAGGCUCUGCGGAGUCGUAUUGAGAGUACCCGAAGAAAAAGCAUCGGCUAACUCCGUGCCAGCAGCCGCGGUAAUACGGAGGAUGCGAGCGUUAUCCGGAUUUAUUGGGUUUAAAGGGUGCGCAGGCGGCGUGUCAAGCAAGCGGUAAAAUAGCGGGGCUCAACCCCGUCGAGCCGUUUGAACUGGCGCGCUUGAGUUCAGGCGAGGUAGGCGGAAUUCGUGGUGUAGCGGUGAAAUGCAUAGAUAUCACGAAGAACUCCGAUUGCGAAGGCAGCUUACCAGUCUGCGACUGACGCUCAGGCACGAAAGUGUGGGUAUCGAACAGGAUUAGAUACCCUGGUAGUCCACACAGUAAACGA
rnacentral:rRNA from 1 species